rnacentral:pre_miRNA from 1 species
GAGAGGGGGAGUGUGUGGUCUGUAGAGAGACAUGAGUUGAUCGGCAGACCCCCUCUCCCCCUCUUU